CUACGACUCGCACGCAGCUCGGGACCCUGAGGUCCCAGAAGCGCACCGUCUUGUCUUGAGAGCCAGAAGCGAUCAUCCAGCCUCCCCAUGUGUACAGAGACAGGAUGUGACCUGCACAGAAAGAAAUAAAGACUCCUGUAAAAGAUGUGACGUCCAUCAGCGUACCUGUGUGUCCACUGAGCGCGUGCAGCCCCUGUCCUCUCUGGCAGUCGGUGGUGUAGAUGUUACAGUCUCCGGCUCCAGCACUGAUCAGGAUGGCACCUCCACUUUCUGGCCCCUCCAUGAAGGCCAGGUCCCUUAUGGUCCCAUCAUGCAUGCUGAACUCCAGGUCUGGUCCUGAGAUGUGAAGACACGAGAUUCAAAUCUGCGGCUCAAAGAAACAAAUUGUGUUUUAUUAUUGUGUGUGUGGCUGACCUGUAGCGUUGCACGUCUCUGCACUGAAAGGCAGGACUUUGACGUAUUUGUCAUUGGAGCCUGUGGCCAACAGCUGUCCACAGGGACUCCAGGCCACACAGUAGAUGGAGCCUUUGUGGUGUUUGUUCCUUUUGAAGCGAACAGCCGGUUGUUUAAGUGAACUUGAGCUUCUACUGAGAAAGAAAAAUGGAUAAAAGAAAAAAAA